ACCUCUUUAGUACAUUAGUACGGGUGACUUCCAAUCACCAGGCCUUGGCCACCACGCCAAGAAGAAGUA
rnacentral:tRNA from 1 species